rnacentral:misc_RNA from 1 species
GCCCCAUCACUCCCAUCUCUCUCUUCCAUCUCUUUCCACCAUUAACAACCAUUUCAAGCUUUUAAAAGCUUGAUUUUAUUCUAUACAUGCCCUAACUCCCUUAAGUAAAUUUUGUUCUUGGAACUUGGCAAGCUUCUUGUGAAUAGAAAGGAAGAAGAAAGUGGAAGAAUUGAAGCUUUGGGAAUACUUCCUUAAAGGUUAGUCAAGAAUGCCCUCAAUUCUCUUUAUAUUCAUGAACUUGCACUUGAAGUGAA